rnacentral:tRNA from 1 species
GCCCGGGUGGCGAAAUUGGUAGACGCAUGGGACUUAAAAUCCCUUGUCCUUCGGGACGUGCCGGUUCAAGUCCGGCCCCGGGCACCA